GUUCACACGGGAAGGAUCUCCAGCGCAACCCACGUAUCGCUGGAAAUGCUCGGCCGGAUGCUUCCAAAACUAGCGGCCACGCCCCAGUCCAACGCCGUAACUCACGGUGGGAACUCGGCGGAGUUGGUGAGACACUUACCUGUACACUUCGGAACUUCGAGUGCCGGCGUUGCAUUUCUACAAGUACUUUUCGAAAGGCUCGAACACUUGAACAACUUCUGACAAACAGAACUGAAAAGUAGGCCUACUAUUAAUUUUAAACAUUUGGCACUGAGCCUGAAUAUUUUGUGACUCUUGAAAACCAACUGUGGAAUGGAAUCUUGCGAUUGGAAUGAAUUUGUGAUUUGUGUGUCGAAUGAUCUGAAUGACGAUUUUGGAGAUGGACAGACUCGGUGAGUUGUAUCUUUUCUAAGAAGAAACCGAGGUGAGCAAAUGAAUUCCAUUCAAAUUCCAUUGAUUGGUAUUGAAAUUGAAAUGUACGGAGCAGUACGGUCUAAAUUAUAUUCCAAAUCUAAAAAAAAGACAUAAAAAUGGGAGUCAAAGUAUUUUACAUUUUAAGUACCUUGAAAGAUAAAACCGUACACCGUAUGUUUGUUUCAAAACCGUACGCCGUAUGUUUGUUGUUGGUAAAUAACAACAUUUUGAAAAAUACAAAACGUAUGAAAUAAAAUACAAAACGGGCGUCAAAGUAUAAAUUUCUAUAAGAAAAGUGACAGUGGCGAGUCUGCUGUCCAAGUGAAUAAUUAUCAAACGGUUGUCAAGGUAUUUAGCAUUUCUUUUUAAAGUACCUUGAAAGAUAAAACCGUACGCCGUAUGUUUGUUUCAAAACCGUACGCCGUAUGUUUGUUGUCGGUAAAUAAGAACAUUUUGAAAAAAAUACAAACCGUGUGAAAUUAAAUAUAGAACAGGUGUCAAAGUAUACAUUUCUGUAAGAAAAGUGACAUUGGCGAGUCUGCUGUCCAAGUGAAUGAUUAUCAAACGGUUGUCAAGGUAUUUAGCAUUUCUUUUUAAAGUACCUUGAAAGAUAAAACCGUACGCCGUAUGUUUGUUUCAAAACCUUACUCCGUAUGUUUGUUUCAAAACCUUACGCCGUAUGUUUGUUGUCGGUAAAUAAGAAUUUUUGAAAAAAAAUAAGCCGUGUGAAAUUAUAAAACGGGUGUCAAAGUAUAAAUUUCUGUAAGAAAAGUGAAAGUGGCGAGUCUGCUGUCCAAGUGAAUAAUCAUCAAACGGUUGUCAGGGUAUUUAGCAUUUCUUUUUAAAGUACCUUGAAAGAUAAAACCGUACGCCGUAUGUUUGUUCUCGGUAAAUAAGAACAUUUUGAAAUACAAAAAACCGUGUGAAAUUAGAUAUAAAACGGGUGUCAAAGUAUACAUUUCUAUAAUAAAAGUGAGUGGCGAGUCUGCUGUCCAAGUGAAUAAUUAUCAAACGGUUGUCAGGGUAUUUAGCAUUUCUUUUUAAAGUACCUUGAAAGAUAAAACCUUACACCGUAUGUUUGUUUCAAAACCUUACCCCGUAUGUUUGUUGUUGGUAAAUAAAAACAUUUUGAAAAUUAUAAAACGUAUGAAAUAAAAUACAAACGGGCGUCAACGUAUAAAUUUCUAUAAGUAUUUCGCAUUUCUUUUCAAAGUAUCGUGAAAGAUAAAUCCAUGAGUCGUGAAUUUUGUGUCGGUAAAUAAGAACAUAAUGCGCUUUUUUUUCAAAGAAAGGGCCGUCUACGCCUUUUGCCCUUUUGUUGCUUUUGUCCUACCUCCAUGGCUUUUGGCCUAAUGAUCUUUUGUGUGAGAAGAAAAACUUCUUUUUCGCUUUAGCUGCGCGACCCAAAUUCAGUAAGCAACUCAUUAAAGCAAACACCUGGACCGCAAUUGUUGUGACCAAUGAAAAGAAGCCUGGACCGCAUUAGCGCGUGAGCGGGCGUGGUCCAGCACGCGUUG